CUACCAGAUGCCACACGCCAGUUGGAUGAACACUCAUCAGCCCCAGUCGAACAACCAACUGGACCAGUAGCUCCACCAGAUCCCCAGCAAACACUGGCUCCACCUGAUCCCCGAAGGGCCCCAACUGGACCAGUAAUGGCCCCACCAGACCCACCAGUAGCAGUGGCUUCCUUUUGUCCCUCAGCAACCUCCACUACAUCAGUGAAGUUCCUGACUAGGCCACCAGCAGCCCCAACUGGACCAUCAACCUCUGGUUCCCAUUCCUCAGAAGGAACUCCAGCUGCCCCAGUUGCUUUAGAAAAAGUAAUAGAUGACAUUGUGAAAGAAGGCUGUCCUGCUCCCAGUGCAGUGCUGAAACGGAAAAGGAAAGGGACAAAAAUUGCAACUGGUGGAGUGGGAGCCGUGCAAGUCCUGGUAUGUAUGACUUGUGAUCACAGCAUAUCUUAUUUGAUACCAACACUGAGAACAUUCACAUGCACACCAAUAAUCUUUGUUUAUGAUACUGGCAAAGUGCUCUCUGUAGCCCGACGUGUGCCUCCAAAAAAUGUCGUCAUCAGUCGAGGCAA